rnacentral:misc_RNA from 1 species
CCUUUCCCCUUUCCCCUUUCC